GCCUUUCCGUAAAGGGGAAGGAUGAGAAGCUUCGACUAAGAUUCGAUUCGAGCGCAGCGAGAAAGCGUUGCCGCAGGCAACGACCCGAAGGGCGAGGCGCAACGCGCCGAGUAAUCCUUCCCCCACCACCA
rnacentral:sRNA from 1 species